rnacentral:rRNA from 1 species
UACGUAGGGCGCGAGCGUUGUCCGGAUUUAUUGGGCGUAAAGAGCUCGUAGGCGGCUUGUCGCGUCGUCCGUGAAAACUUGGGGCUCAACCCCAAGCUUGCGGUCGAUACGGGCAGGCUAGAGUUCGGUAGGGGAGACUGGAAUUCCUGGUGUAGCGGUGAAAUGCGCAGAUAUCAGGAGGAACACCAGUGGCGAAGGCGGGUCUCUGGGCCGAUACUGACGCUGAGGAGCGAAAGCGUGGGGAGCGAACAGG